rnacentral:rRNA from 1 species
ACUCAAAGGAAUAGACGGGAGCUCGCACAAGCGGUGGAGCGUGUGGCUCAAUUCGUCGCUAAACGAAGAACCUUACCAAGAUUAGAAAUCCAACUGCACGCCUAGCGAAAGCUAGGAAGCCUUCGAGGGUGUUGGACAGGUGAUGCACGGCUGUCGUCAGUUCGUGGUUUGAAUCGUUCCCUUCAGUGGGGUAACGAACGCAACCCUCGUUGCCAGUUACAAGUGUCUGGCGAGACUGCCCCCUCACGGGGGAGGAAGGUGAGGAUGACGCCAAGUCAGCGUGUCCCUCUGAUAUCUUGGGCCGCACACGCGCUACAAUCGCCGUUACAAAGGGGCGCAAUGUCGCAAGACGGAGCAAAUCCUUAAAAGCGGCGUCAGUUCGGAUUGGAGUCUGCAACUCGACUCCAUGAAGCUGGAAUCGCUAGUAAUCGUAGGUCAGCUAUACUACGGUGAAUACGUUCUCGAGCUUUGUACACACCGCCCGU